GUGCCAGCAGCCGCGGUAAUACGAAGGGGGCUAGCGUUGCUCGGAAUCACUGGGCGUAAAGCGCACGUAGGCGGGUUGUUAAGUCAGGGGUGAAAUCCUGGAGCUCAACUCCAGAACUGCCUUUGAUACUGGCAACCUAGAGACUUGAAGAGGUUAGUGGAAUUCCCAGUGUAGAGGUGAAAUUCGUAGAUAUUGGGAAGAACACCAGUGGCGAAGGCGGCUAACUGGUCCAGCACUGACGCUGAGGUGCGAAAGCGUGGGGAGCAAACAGGAUUAGAAACCCUCGUAGUCC
rnacentral:rRNA from 1 species